rnacentral:miRNA from 1 species
CGGUCCAGACGUGGAGGGGGUGGUGGCGGCAUCCCGGACGGCCUGUGAGGGAUGCGCCGCCCACUGCCCCGCGCCGCCUGACCG